rnacentral:lncRNA from 1 species
GAAUUUAAAAUGGCAAGGUUGAAAUAGAAGAAUGAAAGACAUGAAACGCUCUAGUAAAAUAAAUUUGAAAUAAUAGUGGUGAUUAAUUAGGUUAUUAGGAUAAAGAAAUGUAUAGCACCGCUAGGAUCUUUUAGAGAGAGAUUAGUGUUUAUUUUUUUUGGUUUUGAGCAGCAGAGAGUAGGAAUUGUUUUUGGUCUCUUCUUAACUGUGUAUUAUCGAUAGGGGAAUUAUUAGAGACAUAC